rnacentral:tRNA from 1 species
GAGCCGGUAGCUCAGCCGGUAGAGCAGCGGACUUUUAAUCCGCUGGUCGUGGGUUCGAUCCCCACCCGGCUCA